rnacentral:rRNA from 1 species
AUUGAACGCUGGUGGCAUGCUUUACACAUGCAAGUCGAACGGUAACAGGUUAAGCUGACGAGUGGCGAACGGGUGAGUAAUGCAUCGGAACGUGCCCGAUCGUGGGGGAUAACGCAGCGAAAGCUGCGCUAAUACCGCAUACGAUCUGAGGAUGAAAGCGGGGGACCGUAAGGCCUCGCGCGAUCGGAGCGGCCGAUGUCAGAUUAGGUAGUUGGUGGAGUAAAGGCUCACCAAGCCGACGAUCUGUAGCUGGUCUGAGAGGACGACCAGCCACACUGGGACUGAGACACGGCCCAGACUCCUACGGGAGGCAGCAGUGGGGAAUUUUGGACAAUGGGCGAAAGCCUGAUCCAGCAAUGCCGCGUGCAGGAAGAAGGCCUUCGGGUUGUAAACUGCUUUUGUACGGAGCGAAAAGGUUUGGGCUAAUAAGCUGAGCUCAUGACGGUACCGUAAGAAUAAGCACCGGCUAACUACGUGCCAGCAGCCGCGGUAA